UUGAAGCUUACUUUUAUUUUAUUACAUCUAAUUUAAAAUGUGUAUAUAUAUAUAUUCUUGCUAAGAUGAUAUUUUCAAAUGGAUCUAUUGAACGUGACUACACUGAAUUUGAAUUUCUGUUGAAGAAAAUUUGCUCCAAUCUAGCGUUUCUGAAAAUGUUACCAUCGAGAAACUCGAUACUCCUGUCAUUUUUGUGGAAAAUGCUUUCGAAAAAUGCAAAAUUUAAAGCAGCAUUACAUUGUACAUUCUUCCAGAGAUCAUGUAUGCCCAUUAUGUUCCAAAGCAUAUAAAUCACGAGCUGUAUUAAAUUUACAUCUCCAGGUUCAUGCACCUGAUAGCUUCCAGUGUGAUUAUUGUGACAAAACAUUUAGGUGGAGAUGGAGUUGGAAGAUGCAUAUAAAAAAGAUGCAUUCUUAAGCUAUUUUAAGAAAGGAUAUCAUAUAUGUCAUCUUUGUGGUAAGCAUUUCAACAAGUUGCAAUAUAUAAAGCAGCAUUAUGUUGUUCAUUCUGCCAAGCAACAUGUGUGUCCAUUGUGUUAUAAGGCAUAUAAGUUUUAAGCUGUAUUAAAACAUACAAUUCUCAAUGUUGUUAUUGUAAGAAAACUUUUCGGUGGAGGUGGAGUUGGAAGAUGCAUGUGAAAAGAUGUUCUAAAGAAAUAAUUUCUACAAAUUUAAAUUAAGAUAAGAAUCUCUUACAUUUUUUUUUUGACAUUUUCCUUUUUUUCAUAGUUGUAACAUGAAAAAUUACAGAAUUUUAUUGAAAACAUGAUUUUAAAUUAAAACAAUAUUAGAAAGUACUGUACAUACAUAUAUCAUCUGCUUAUAGACAUAAGUUUUUCAUCUGGAGAAUUCAUAUUCUUUUCAAAGAAAAAUGUUCAACUUUGUACAGUGAACUGCAA